GUUAGUCUUUAGCAAUAUUUCUUCAACAAUGUCUCAUGCUUCUUCUUCCAAAAUUUGCAAGUACGAUGUCUUUUUGAGUUUUAGAGGUGAAGAUACGCGUAGAACCUUUGUGAGUCAUCUCUAUAAUUCUUUGGAACUAAGAGGAAUCCACACUUUUAAAGAUGAUGAGCGACUAGUAACGAGAAAAUCAAUUUCUGAUGAACUUUUGAAAGCCAUACAAGAGUCUAAAUUUGCUAUAGUGAUAUUUUCCAAAAGCUAUGCAUCGUCAAGAUGGUGUUUAGAGGAGCUUGCACACAUCAUAAAGUGUAAAAAGGAAUUGGAGCAGAUUGUGAUUCCAGUCUUCUAUGAUGUGAGUCCAUCAGAUGUGCGCCAUCAACAUCCCCCUUUUGCUGAUUCAUUUUUACAACAUGAGGAAAAAUGCAAAGAUGAUAUGGAGAAGGUUCAGAGAUGGACGGGUGCAUUUGCGGAGGCUGGGAAAAUAUCAGGGUAUCAUUUACAAAAUUUCAAGGAUGAGGCUGAGUGCAUCAAGAAGUUAGUUAAUGACAUAUUUCCUAAGUCACUUCAAAUUAUUUCACCUUUCCCGGUAAGUUUAGUGGGUAUAAAAUCUCAGGUUGAGAAAGUAACCUCAUUAUUAGAUAUGGAAUCAAAUGAUGUUCGCUCUAUCGGAAUUUGGGGAAUGGGCGGCAUCGGUAAGACAGAAAUUGCAAAUAUUCUACAUCAAAGAUACCGCCAUCGAUUUGAAGCUGAUUGUUUUCUUGGUGAUGUUGGAAAACUUCAUCAGAAAAAUGGACUAACAUGGCUACAACAAGUCGUCAUUUGCAAGCUCUUGGGUGAAAAAUUGACUCUAACUUGUGAGCUUGAAGGGAUGAAUAUUUUAAAGAAUAUGCUUCGCUGGAAGAAAGUUUUGUUCAUCCUCGAUGAUGUAAACCAUCAAGAACAGUGGGAAUUUUUGGUUGGAGAGCCAGAGUGGUUUGGUAGGGGUAGCAGAAUUAUGUUAACAGCAAGAGACAAGCACCUGUUAAUCAGUCACGUUGGGGAUAACGUGUAUGAAGUCCAACUAUUAUCGGAGGAUGAAGCACUUGAAUUGUUCAGUAGGCAUGCUUUUAGAGAAAAAUCACCAAAAGAAGAUUUUAUGAAACUUUCGAGAGAAGUGGUGGAGCAUGCUGGUGGACUCCCUUUAGCUCUUAAAGUUUUGGGUUCUUCAUUUUACAGACGAGACAAAAAGCACUGGAGACACAUAAUUGAUCGGCUGAAGAGAAUCCCUCAUAAUGAUAUUCUAGGAAAGCUUAGGCUUAGUUUUGAUGGUCUGGACAAAGAUGAGAAGGAAUUAUUUCUAGAUAUUGUAUUUCUGGAUAUUGCAUGCUUGACUAGAUAUGAUUUUCAUCUUUUUGCGGAACUAGUACUCAGAGACGCGGGUCAGGAUUUAUCCAUCAGCAUAAGUAACAGUAUCGUGAUGCAUAAUAUGAUAAGAGAAAUGGGUGAAAAUGUCAUACGGGAAGAGUACGAUAACAGCAGAAUAUGGCUUCCCGAGGAGGUUUGUGACCUUUUUAAAGGAAAGUUGAUAACAGAAAAGGUGGAAAGCCUAUGUAUCCCAAAAGAUUACUAUUUUGAAGAUGAUUUUCUCAAUAAUAGCAAUAUUUUCAAGAGGAUGCAAAGCUUAAAAAUACUCAUAGUUGGUGAUGGAACUUUUAGCUUGAACUGCGUUAUCACUUAUCUUCCCUCCAGCUUGCGGCUUAUUGAUUGGCCGGGGUAUCCUUCAAUUUCAUUGCCAGAGAGCUUUGAACCAUCACAGCUCGUGGUGCUUUGUUUACAUAGAAGUUGGCUUGUUGAACUUUGGCCAAUAUCAAAGGUAUACUCUUUAUCUCUAUCUCUAAUACAACAAAAUUGCAAAAUCUGUGAAGAUAUGCUGCGCUUAUCAAUACUCUAUGUAAAAUCCCCGUGGAUAAGAAGCUUACCUCCAUCUUUCAGCAGCCUUAGAAAUUUGCAAUUGACUGAGUGUGAAGUUCUUGAAAGUAUUCCGGACGCCAUUCAAAAUCUUAGAGAUCUCAGUAUUUCAGGUUGCAAUAAACUUGCAACACUGCCAAACAGCCUCUUUGAAUCACAGCAAUUGGAAUGUCUUGGUAUAUACCGAUGUUCUGGAUUGGUAAAGCUCCCCAUAUCUCUUGGAGUUCAAAAGAAGCUCUGUUUGUUAGAGAUAGAUGGAUGUGAAACUUAAAGAAGCUUCCAAGCUCGAUUCUGAUGAAAUCCCUUCAAAAGCUCAAGAUAUCUAAUUCCCCAAAAUUAUAUACAUUUCCAGAAAUCGACGGAGAUAUGCAUUACUUGACACAGCUGACUCUGAAUUCUACUGGGAUAAGAGAAGUGCCUUCAUCCAUUGGGCAUCUAAGAGGCCUCGAAUAUCUCUAUCUGUCAGGUUGUGAAAAUCUUCUAAGUCUACCAGACAGCCUCUGCAAUUUGAUGAAACUUCGAUGUCUUUACCUUGACGGGUGCAAAAAGCUAGAGAAGCGUCCAGAAAACAUUGGUGAUUUGCAAGAUUUACAUAUACUUGAUGCGAGCGAAACUGCAAUCUCCCAACCACCUCCCUCCAUCACUAAGCUUGGCAAACUGUGGAAGUUACGAUUCUCACAUGAACAACAAUUUCAACAUUCCUCAAGUUUUGUCUUGAAUCAAGUAUCAGGUUUAUCCUCCUUGACAUCACUUGAUCUUAAUAAUCACAACAUAUUGAGUGGACUUCCUGAGGAUUUAGGAUCUUUGCACUCUUUGGAAAAUUUGAAUGUAAGUGGAAGCAAUAUUUCUUGUUUACCAAAAAGCUUCAAAGGACUCUUACACCUUCAGCAUUUGAACGUACAAUUCUGUCAGAAUCUUAAUGAACUGCCAGGAGAGCUAACCCCAAAUUUAAGGGACCUAUUUGCUGAUUAUCAUCUAGCCUUGAAGAGCAGCAAAAAUCUCGUAAUUUGUUGUCUUAAGCUGUGUAGGCUCGCAAUAUCCGACUAUGGAACUGUCUCUAGUGAACAAGUUAAUGUGUUCCUACAGCAUUUUCUCACGACAUGCAUCCAGUGUGACUUCCACCAAAGGGCUUGUUUUAUCAUUUAUUUUCCCGGAGUCAGAAUUCCAGAGUUGUUCGAUUAUGAUCGGUUUAUAAAUCAAAAUGAGAUCUCAAUUGAGCUGAACCCAUCUUGGUAUACUGAUAAAUUCAUGGGUUUUUGGAUAAGUUACAGUCCUACUAGACUGGACGCAGGAUUAGAAGCUACAUUGGUCUGCAAGUCUGACCCUGAAAGAAAAUAUUCCUUGGUGUAUAACUACAUCCCUGAAUAUUCGAGGUUCGAGUAUCCUUUCAUUUGUUGUGCCUACAUACUAUUUGAAACAUUGUGGCAUGCUUCUGACAAUAAAGAAGGGAAGAACCCAAAUGAUUAUUACAUGUUGAAGGUACCUGAAGUGUACAGGGAGGAAUAACUAUGCUGGGGAAUUCGCUUGGAGUAUGAAAAGGAAGCAAUGAGUGAUGCAAAGGUCUGUUUAUGACUUGUUUUACAUCACAAAUUUCAAAUAUUUUUCUAUCUUUCUUAAAUUUUGUAUUCAACCAAACAUGUAUCAUAAAAUG